rnacentral:rRNA from 1 species
CCUACGGGUGGCAGCAGUGAGGAAUAUUGGUCAAUGGACGAGAGUCUGAACCAGCCAAGUAGCGUGAAGGAUGACUGCCCUAUGGGUUGUAAACUUCUUUUAUAUGGGAAUAAAACAGGGUAUGCAUACACUCUUGUAUGUAGCAUAUGAAUAAGGAUCGGCUAACUCCGUGCCAGCAGCCGCGGUAAUACGGAGGAUCCGAGCGUUAUCCGGAUUGAUUGGGUUUAAAGGGAGCGUAGGUGGAUUGGUAAGUCAGUUGUGAAAGUUUGCGGCUCAACCGUAAAAUUGCAGUUGAAACUGGCAGACUUGAGUACAGUAGAGGUGGGCGGAAUUCGUGGUGUAGCGGUGAAAUGCGUAGAUAUCACGAAGAACUCCGAUUGCGAAGGCAGCUCACUGGACUGCAACUGACACUGAUGCACGAAAGUGUGGGUAUCAAACAGGAUUAGAUACCCCAGUAGUC